ACUGCAGAAGCCCCAUUGAGGAAGGAGGUGCGCCUUCAGAGGAAGAAUCCCUUCCCAAUGAAGACAGCCUACCGAUGCUGGAUGAAGAAGUAGAGGGGUUAUGUAUGUCUGAGGAGGAUGAGGACUGCAGAAGCCCCACUGAGGAAGGUGAUGUUCCUUCAGAAGAGGAAUCCCUUCCUAAUGAAGACAGACCACCAAUGUUGGAUGAGGA